rnacentral:rRNA from 1 species
CCUACGGGUGGCAGCAGUCGGGAAUAUUGGUCAAUGGGUGCGAGCCUGAACCAGCCAUGCCGCGUGCAGGAAGAAGGCCUUCUGGGUUGUAAACUGCUUUUACCAGGGGAUAAAAACGUUUUGCGAAACGGAUUGAAGGUACCUGGGGAAUAAGCCACGGCUAACUACGUGCCAGCAGCCGCGGUAAUACGUAGGUGGCGAGCGUUGUCCGGAUUUAUUGGGUUUAAAGGGUGCGUAGGCGGCUUAUUAAGUCAGUGGUGAAAGACGGCAGCUUAACUGUCGAGGUGCCAUUGAUACUGAUGAGCUAGAGUACUGAUGAGGUAGGCGGAAUGGACGGUGUAGCGGUGAAAUGCAUAGAUAUCGUCCAGAACACCGAUAGCGAAGGCAGCUUACUAAGGAGUAACUGACGCUGAGGCACGAAAGUGUGGGGAUCAAACAGGAUUAGAUACCCGUGUAGUC